rnacentral:lncRNA from 1 species
GGAUAUAUUUCCGUUUGGUAAAAAUAUUAUUAUUCUCUCUAAUUGUCCAUCAAUUGCUUUUGAUUUUACCAAUUGGAAAGGGAAAAAAAAAAAACCCUCUUUUUAAAAAAAACCCAAAGGUUUAAUUUUAAAAAAAAAAAAAAAAAAAAAAAAAAGGUAUUCAAAAAUUCUGGAAUCUGAAGUACUUAUUGUUAUUCAUUAAAUAUAAAUUUAAGCUAUUUCACACAAUUUAUCCUGUGCUUAAGCCAGGCUACUGAUCAAGCUGGUUCAGAUAGAUUAGGUUACCAUAGACAUUCAGAUCCACCUCUUCUCCAUGUGAACAUACGCUGUCUUCUGGCCAAAAGCACAGCCCAGUCAGACCCUGCAGACAAGCAGACAAAACUGUCUUCAGCUCAAGGUUUGACUCCUUCAAGAUUUCAUCAUCCUUUUGCAUAACUAGCAGUAUGACGUUCCUUCAUCCCUUUCACAAUUUUCAUUUUGUAUGAGAAUGGAAGACUUCAGACAUGAAGCCCUGGAGUUCUCUUCAAUGACAAAGGAGAACUUGAUCAUGAUCAAGGGACUGAAAAAACCCAGAAUGACUGAUGUGCUGCUAGAAGAUUUCAAGAAAAACAGCCACAUGCUUCAGAUCAGUGUGGCUGGCUCCUGGAAACAUAUUCAUGUGGGGAACUUUAUACACAUUGAAGAGGACCCACAGAAGACAGCACGAUCUCUUUAUAGGUCUGCCUGUUGUUUAGCCCUAUCCAUGCCCGUUUGCUGCUGUGAUCAACUCACACACUGAACAAGGUUGGGGAAAUGAGAGACUACAAAAAUAGUGUUCCAGAGUAAAACCAGCUGAAAACAGAGAGACUUCAUUGAAAAAAAGUGGAGUUUGGAUAAGAGUUGACAGAGGCCUCCAUUCUGCUAAACCUGUCGCCUAUUAAUGUGUCCAGAACCACUCUCCGGCUCUGGGGAUGAGUGGCAUUAGCGCGGUCUGGAUUUACACAACCAGCCUGCCUCUUUGUACCUAACCCCAGUUACCACAUCCAUGCUGCCUCUUGGGAAGAGCCCUGGGUCUGCAAGAGUCACCCAAAUAAUGUUCGGUCAGCCCAAGCCAAAAUUGAACUAAACAAAGUGCAAAGAAGGAAACAGACUGUGUGACAGUCUCAAACCUGUCAGUUUGCCAUGAUAAACAGACCCUUUGGAACAGCAUAAUGAGAUAUGUUUCAUCCCAUCCCAUGUGUUAUGUUCAGGGACUGUUCCAGAAAGGGCCUGAUUCAAAGAACAUCAAAAUUGUUUGCAGUUUUCCCAGCGGUUUCAAUGGACUUUGCGAUCUACUCUUCAACAUUUGACAAUAAUCAGCAUUUUCCCUAGAACAUACUACUUAAAUGUACAGAAAUCUAAAUAAAAAAGUGUUCUCAUAAUUUUGAAAUCCUCA